rnacentral:tRNA from 2 species
GCGUCCAUAGUUCAACUGGAUAGAAUACUCGGUUUCGACCCGAGGGGUUGUGGGUUCGACUCCUACUGGGCGUACCA